rnacentral:misc_RNA from 1 species
GGGAAUCAUCAAAUUUUUGAACGCAAAUUGCACGCGCUUCGGAGAGUAAGCCUGUGCGAGGGUCAGCCUCAAAAAAAUCGACAUAGUCGCUGUUUCGCGGUGACAUUCGUCGGAAAUUGGGUCAUCUUAAACUUCUGGGUUUUAAGCGGCUUAAAAUUUUCUUUACGAUUCUACGAACGUUUCUAAGAUUUACUUACACGUUUAAGGUAUCGAUUUUUAUUAGACGUGGCCGCUGCAUCGGAUCACGUUCAUAAAUAUCUCGUU